rnacentral:rRNA from 1 species
UACAGAGGUCCCAAGCGUUGUUCGGAUUCACUGGGCGUAAAGGGUGUGUAGGUGGCGCCGUAAGUGGGGUGUGAAAUCUCGGGGCUUAACUCCGAAACUGCAUUCCAUACUGCGGUGCUUGAGGACUGGAGAGGAGACUGGAAUUCCUGGUGUAGCGGUGAAAUGCGCAGAUAUCAGGAGGAACACCGGUGGCGAAGGCGGAUCUCUGGGCCUUGCCUGACGCUGAGGCGCGAAAGCUAGGGGAGCGAACAGG